GGGUCCAUCUUCCAGUACAGUGUUGGAUGGUCUUUGUGAAGCUCCUAACACUGUCUGGUAAAGAUGGCCCC
rfam:Ictidomys tridecemlineatus contig097460, whole genome shotgun sequence.